rnacentral:tRNA from 1 species
GGGGGUGUAGCUCAGCUGGUAGAGUGCUUGCCUAAUAGGCAUGAGACCCUGGGUUCAGUCCCUACCACCACCA